rnacentral:rRNA from 1 species
GACGAACGCUGGCGGCGUGCUUAACACAUGCAAGUCGAACGGAAAGGCCCUGCUUUUGUGGGGUGCUCGAGUGGCGAACGGGUGAGUAACACGUGAGUAACCUGCCCUUGACUUUGGGAUAACUUCAGGAAACUGGGGCUAAUACCGGAUAGGAGCUCCUGCUGCAUGGUGGGGGUUGGAAAGUUUCGGCGGUUGGGGAUGGACUCGCGGCUUAUCAGCUUGUUGGUGGGGUAGUGGCUUACCAAGGCUUUGACGGGUAGCCGGCCUGAGAGGGUGACCGGCCACAUUGGGACGGAGAUACGGCCCAGACUCCUACGGGAGGCAGCAGUGGGGAAUAUUGCACAAUGGGCGGAAGCCUGAUGCAGCAACGCCGCGUGCGGGAUGACGGCCUUCGGGUUGUAAACCGCUUUCGCCUGUGACGAAGCGUGGGUGACGGUAAUGGGUAAAGAAGCACCGGCUAACUACGU